AGGGAAUCUUCCACAAUGGACGCAAGUCUGAUGGAGCAACGCCGCGUGAGUGAAGAAGGUUUUCGGACCGUAAAGCUCUGUUGUUGGUGAAGAAGGAUAGAGGUAGUAACUGGCCUUUAUUUGACGGUAAUCAACCAGAAAGUCACGGCUAACUACGUGCCAGCAGCCGCGGUAAUACGUAGGUGGCAAGCGUUGUCCGGAUUUAUUGGGCGUAAAGCGAGCGCAGGCGGAAGAAUAAGUCUGAUGUGAAAGCCCUCGGCUUAACCGAGGAAUUGCAUCGGAAACUGUUUUCUUGAGUGCAGAAGAGGAGAGUAGAACUCCAUGUGUAGCGGUGGAAUGCGUAGAUAUAUGGAAGAAUACCAGUGGCGAAGGCGGCUCUCUGGUCUGCAACUGACGCUGAGGCUCGAAAGCAUGGGUAGCGAACAGGAUUAGAUACCCUGGUAGUCCAUGCCGUAAACGAUGAGUGCUAAGUGUUGGGAGGCUUCCGCCUCUCAGUGCUGCAGCUAACGCAUUAAGCACUCCGCCUGGGGGAGUACGACCGCAAGGUCGAAAC
rnacentral:rRNA from 1 species